UACGUAGGGGGCAAGCGUUGUCCGGAUUUAUUGGGCGUAAAGCGCACGUAGGCGGAUUGUUAAGUGAGGGGUGAAAUCCCAGGGCUCAACCCUGGAACUGCCUUUCAUACUGGCAAUCUCGAGUCCGGAAGAGGUGAGUGGAACUCCUAGUGUAGAGGUGGAAUUCGUAGAUAUUAGGAAGAACACCCGUGGCUAAGGCGGCUCUCUAGUACGGUACUGACGCUGAGACGCGAGAGCGUGGGGAGCGAACAGG
rnacentral:rRNA from 1 species